GACGAACGCUGGCGGCGUGCUUAACACAUGCAAGUCGAACGGAAAGACCCUGCUUUUGUGGGGUGCUCGAUUGGCGAACGGGUGAGUAACACGUGAGUAACCUGCCCUUGACUUUGUGAUAACUUCAGGAAACUGGGGCUAAUACCGGAUAGGAGCUCCUGCUGCAUGGUGGGGGUUGGAAAGUUUCGGCGGUUGGGGAUGGACUCGCGGCUUAUCAGCUUGUUGGGGGGGUAGUGGCUUACCAAGGCUUUGACGGGUAGCCGGCCUGAGAGGGUUACCGGCCACAUUGGGACUGAGAUACGGACCAGACUCCUACGGGAGGCAGCAGUGGGGAAUAUUGCACAAUGGGCGGAAGCCUGAUGCAGCAACGCCGCGUGCGGAAUAACGGCCUUCUGGUUGUAAACCGCUUUCGCCUGUGACGAAGCGUGAGUGACGGUAAUGGGUAAAGAAGCACCGGCUAACUACGUG
rnacentral:rRNA from 1 species